UACGUAGGUGGCAAGCGUUGUCCGGAUUUACUGGGCGUAAAGAGCGCGCAGGCGGUCGUUCAAGUCGCGUGUGAAAGCCCCCGGCUCAACUGGGGAGGGUCACGCGAUACUGAUCGACUCGAAGGCAGGAGAGGGAAGUGGAAUUCCCGGUGUAGUGGUGAAAUUCGUAGAUAUCGGGAGGAACACCAGUGGCGAAGGCGGCUCUCUGGACAGGUUCUGACGCUGAGACGCGAAAGCGUGGGUAGCAAACAGG
rnacentral:rRNA from 1 species